CCUACGGGAGACAGCAGUGGGGAAUAUUGGACAAUGGGGGGAACCCUGAUCCAGCGACGCCGCGUGAGUGAAGAAGUAUUUCGGUAUGUAAAGCUCUAUCAGCAGGGAAGAAAGAAAUGACGGUACCUGACUAAGAAGCCCCGGUUAACUACGUGCCAGCAGCCGCGGUAAUACGUAGGGGGCAAGCGUUAUCCGGAUUUACUGGGUGUAAAGGGAGCGUAGACGGCGAUGCAAGUCUGAAGUGAAAGGCGGGGGGCCAACCCCCGGACUGCUUUGGAAACUGUAUGGCUGGAGUGCAGGAGAGGUAAGUGGAAUUCCUAGUGUAGCGGUGAAAUGCGUAGAUAUUAGGAGGAACACCAGUGGCGAAGGCGGCUUACUGGACUGUAACUGACGUUGAGGCUCGAAAGCGUGGGGAGCAAACAGGAUUAGAUACCCUUGUAGUC
rnacentral:rRNA from 1 species